UACGUAGGGUGCGAGCGUUGUCCGGAAUUAUUGGGCGUAAAGAGCUCGUAGGUGGUUUGUCGCGUUGUCCGUGAAAACUCACAACUCAAUUGUGGGCGUGCGGGCGAUACGGGCAGACUGGAGUACUGCAGGGGGAGACUGGAAUUCCUGGUGUAGCGGUGGAAUGCGCAGAUAUCUGGAGGAACACCGGUGGCGAAGGCGGCAUCCUGGACCGGUAUUGACGCUGAUGCGCGAAAGCCAGGGGAGCAAAGCGGGG
rnacentral:rRNA from 1 species